CGAAAGCGUGGCGGGUUCUUGCCUUUGGGCCGUUUCUGGUCAGGGCUGAUUGUGGCGUUGUCCUGGGCUGUGCCGGCAGCUCUAGCCAUCCAGUCUCAGGGACUGGAACUUCAAGAUGCUGGGAAGAAGUUCUUAGGUUUUUCAUCAGCUUCUCGUUUGGUUGCGACGUCUCUGCUCGGUUGUGGCGCUGCCGCCGUCUCGUCAGGAGCCGUGACGUCGGGCUCCUUUUCCGUUUGAGGAUGCAGGAGAGGCUCCUCUCCUCCCCGUAGAUUAUUGGGAUCGAUGCCCUUCUGGUCUCGGAGCGUCGUGUUCGUCGUGGAGCGUUUUUGGCGCUGUGGCCGUCGCGUGGUCUAUAAGGUUCUGCGGAGCGUCUGUCGGCCCGGGUGCGCGUUUGGCUCGGAGCUGCUCUGCCCGGACGCGUAGAGGCAGGGGAGGGUGGACGGAGCUCUGGCGGUCCCCGGUUAACCUGCUGACGCGUUGAAUUGCGUGGGCAGAGGCGGUGCGGUCAUCUGGGAUGGAGUAGCCGUGGGCAGGGGAGCGGAGGGUCCCCGCGCAGGCGUUUGAGAGCCUCCACGAGAGCUUGGGACGUUAUUGCGCCACAGAAAGCAGACCUGUGGGCUGGUCAGGCUGUCGAUGGGCUGCUGGGUGACUUGCAGAAUCACCUGAUUUCAGGAGCAGAGGGACAACUUGGCCCGGAAGAGCGACGGAGGAGGCGAGCUGUGCGCUGUAAGCAGGUGGGUCGGUGGGUGGUGCCAGAGGGGAGCUGUGCCGUGUGGCUCUAGCUAAGCUCGGUCGUUUCUCUGUUUCCUAGGUGCGAAGCGAAGAGGAAAGCGGGCUGUCGGCAGCUCAGCUCCACGGGCCAGGCGGCAGCUGAGCGUCUCGGCGGUCCGCGGCGUGGCAGUCCAAAGCAAGGGCGGCCGGGUGGGCGAGCGGCCCAGGUAAGGGAGGGCGAGCUGGGACCGUCUGCGGACAGGCUGUGUUUUCGGGCGGCGUCCGAGCGCGUGCCUCUGGUUUUGCGGGUGCCGCAGACGAGCCGGCAGGGGCGAAGCCGCACGCCGGCCGGCAGCCGAGAAGGUGAGGCGGCGGUGGGCGUUGCGGAGCCCGGUAUUGCCCGGUCUCUCGCUUCAUCUUUUCCUUCUCGCUUUGCAGGCGCUUUGUGGGCCCUCUGGACCGGGAGGAGCAUUUGCGGUGAGCCGGGCUAGGGGCGAGGAGGAGCGUGGGGCCGGGGACUCGUUCCCGGCGCCACGGUUUUUUUUGCUUCUCGCCGUCGUAGGCGUCACCAGCGCUGAGGGUUUGUGACCGCGCCAGCGGCAGGACACGCCGACCGGACCGCCCUGGAGCUCAGCAGGAGGCGCUGAAGAGGAACCCGGCGACGCGGGAAGACGGCCGUUGGCGCACGUGGCGUUUUCCUCUGCCGAAGAUGGGUUCGGACCCUCGGCCCUCUGAAAGCUAAGUGGAGGCGCGAGGGCUGGGAAGGGGCCGGGAAUGGCAGGGCCGGGGGGUUUAGCUCUGCUAAGGGCAAGGGCCGUCCAGGAACCGCGCCCUUGGCGCGGGUCAAGGGCCCAGGGACCUUUACCGUGCGAUGCCAGCGUGUGCCGGGCAGGGCAGCUCCAGCCUGCGUCUGCGUUGUGGUGUAGUUCGGGAAGCCUGCCUUGCGCCUGUCAGCCGAUCCUGGGGUCUCGUUGCGUUCGAGGGGCACGGAAGGCCUCUCGGGUGCCACCCCGGGAUCUGGAACGCCGGUGCCCAUCGGCGUAGCGCCGAUCGGGCGCUGGUUUUCUGGUGUCGGCAGCCGAAAGCGUGGCGGGUUCUUGCCUUUGGGCCGUUUCUGGUCAGGGCUGAUUGUGGCGUUGUCCUGGGCUGUGCCGGCAGCUCUAGCCAUCCAGUCUCAGGGACUGGAACUUCAAGAUGCUGGGAAGAAGUUCUUAGGUUUUUCAUCAGCUUCUCGUUUGGUUGCGACGUCUCUGCUCGGUUGUGGCGCUGCCGCCGUCUCGUCAGGAGCCGUGACGUCGGGCUCCUUUUCCGUUUGAGGAUGCAGGAGAGGCUCCUCUCCUCCCCGUAGAUUAUUGGGAUCGAUGCCCUUCUGGUCUCGGAGCGUCGUGUUCGUCGUGGAGCGUUUUUGGCGCUGUGGCCGUCGCGUGGUCUAUAAGGUUCUGCGGAGCGUCUGUCGACCCGGGUGCGCGAUUGGCUCGGAGCUGCUCUGCCCGGACGCGUAGAGGCAGGGGAGGGUGGACGGAGCUCUGGCGGUCCCCGGUUAACCUGCUGACGCGUUGAAUUGCGUGGGCAGAGGCGGUGCGGUCAUCUGGGAUGGAGUAGCCGUGGGCAGGGGAGCGGAGGGUCCCCGCGCAGGCGUUUGAGAGCCUCCACGAGAGCUUGGGACGUUAUUGCGCCACAGAAAGCAGACCUGUGGGCUGGUCAGGCUGUCGAUGGGCUGCUGGGUGACUUGCAGAAUCACCUGAUUUCAGGAGCAGAGGGACAACUUGGCCCGGAAGAGCGACGGAGGAGGCGAGCUGUGCGCCGUAAGCAGGUGGGUCGGUGGGUGGUGCCAGAGGGGAGCUGUGCCGUGUGGCUCUAGCUAAGCUCGGUCGUUUCUCUGUUUCCUAGGUGCGAAGCGAAGAGGAAAGCGGGCUGUCGGCAGCUCAGCUCCACGGGCCAGGCGGCAGCUGAGCGUCUCGGCGGUCCGCGGCGUGGCAGUCAAAAGCAAGGGCGGCCGGGUGGGCGAGCGGCCCAGGUAAGGGAGGGCGAGCUGGGACCGUCUGCGGACAGGCUGUGUUUUCGGGCGGCGUCCGAGCGCGUGCCUCUGGUUUUGCGGGUGCCGCAGACGAGCCGGCAGCCGAGAAGGUGAGGCGGCGGUGGGCGUUGCGGAGCCCGGUAUUGCCCGGUCUCUCGCUUCAUCUUUUCCUUCUCGCUUUGCAGGCGCUUUGUGGGCCCUCUGGACCGGGAGGAGCAUUUGCGGUGAGCCGGGCUAGGGGCGAGGAGGAGCGUGGGGCCGGGGACUCGUUCCCGGCGCCACGGUUUUUUUUGCUUCUCGCCGUCGUAGGCGUCACCAGCGCUGAGGGUUUGUGACCGCGCCAGCGGCAGGACACGCCGACCGGACCGCCCUGGAGCUCAGCAGGAGGCGCUGAAGAGGAACCCGGCGACGCGGGAAGACGGCCGUUGGCGCACGUGGCGUUUUCCUCUGCCGAAGAUGGGUUCGGUCCCUCGGCCCUCUGAAAGCUAAGUGGAGGCGCGAGGGCUGGGAAGGGGCCGGGAAUGGCAGGGCCGGGGGGUUUAGCUCUGCUAAGGGCAAGGGCCGUCCAGGAACCGCGCCCUUGGCGCGGGUCAAGGGCCCGGGGACCUUUACCGUGCGAUGCCAGCGUGUGCCGGGCAGGGCAGCUCCAGCCUGCGUCUGCGUUGUGGUGUAGUUCGGGAAGCCUGCCUUGCGCCUGUCAGCCGAUCCUGGGGUCUCGUUGCGUUCGAGGGGCACGGAAGGCCUCUCGGGUGCCACCCCGGGAUCUGGAACGCCGGUGCCGAUCGGCGUAGCGCCGAUCGGGCGCUGGUUUUCUGGUGUCGGCAGCCGAAAGCGUGGCGCGUUCUUGCCUUUCGGCCGUUUCUGGUCAGGGCUGAUUGUGGCGUUGUCCUGGGCUGUGCCGGCAGCUCUAGCCAUCCAGUCUCAGGGACUGGAACUUCAAGAUGCUGGGAAGAAGUUCUUAGGUUUUUCAUCAGCUUCUCGUUUGGUUGCGACGUCUCUGCUCGGUUGUGGCGCUGCCGCCGUCUCGUCAGGAGCCGUGACGUCGGGCUCCUUUUCCGUUUGAGGAUGCAGGAGAGGCUCCUCUCCUCCCCGUAGAUUAUUGGGAUCGAUGCCCUUCUGGUCUCGGAGCGUCGUGUUCGUCGUGGAGCGUUUUUGGCGCUGUGGCCGUCGCGUGGUCUAUAAGGUUCUGCGGAGCGUCUGUCGGCCCGGGUGCGCGUUUGGCUCGGAGCUGCUCUGCCCGGACGCGUAGAGGCAGGGGAGGGUGGACGGAGCUCUGGCGGUCCCCGGCUAACCUGCUGACGCGUUGAAUUGCGUGGGCAGAGGCGGCGCGGUCAUCUGGGAUGGAGUAGCCGUGGGCAGGGGAGCGGAGGGUCCCCGCGCAGGCGUUUGAGAGCCUCCACGAGAGCUUGGGACGUUAUUGCGCCACAGAAAGCAGACCUGUGGGCUGGUCAGGCUGUCGAUGGGCUGCUGGGUGACUUGCAGAAUCACCUGAUUUCAGGAGCAGAGGGACAACUUGGCCCAGAAGAGCGACGGAGGAGGCGAGCUGUGCGCCGUAAGCAGGUGGGUCGGUGGGUGGUGCCAGAGGGGAGCUGUGCCGUGUGGCUCUAGCUAAGCUCGGUCGUUUCUCUGUUUCCUAGGUGCGAAGCGAAGAGGAAAGCGGGCUGUCGGCAGCUCAGCUCCACGGGCCAGGUGAGCACGGAGUGCUGGGCCGAAGCGGCAGCUCGUUUCAGGUCCCGUGUUGCUGGCGCGGGUCCGAGCGUCCUUUGGUGGUGUUUUACAGGCGGCAGCUGAGCGUCUCGGCGGUCCGCGGCGUGGCAGUCCAAAGCAAGGGCGGCCGGGUGGGCGAGCGGCCCAGGUAAGGGAGGGCGAGCUGGGACCGUCUGCGGACAGGCUGUGUUUUCGGGCGGCGUCCGAGCGCGUGCCUCUGGUUUUGCGGGUGCCGCAGACGAGCCGGCAGGGGCGAAGCCGCACGCCGGCCGGCAGCCGAGAAGGUGAGGCGGCGGUGGGCGUUGCGGAGCCCGGUAUUGCCCGGUCUCUCGCUUCAUCUUUUCCUUCUCGCUUUGCAGGCGCUUUGUGGGCCCUCUGGACCGGGAGGAGCAUUUGCGGUGAGCCGGGCUAGGGGCGAGGAGGAGCGUGGGGCCGGGGACUCGUUCCCGGCGCCACGGUUUUUUUUGAUUCUCGCCGUCGUAGGCGUCACCAGCGCUGAGGGUUUGUGACCGCGCCAGCGGCAGGACACGCCGACCGGACCGCCCUGGAGCUCAGCAGGAGGUGGGUGUCGCGGACGGACUCGGCGUUUGCCCCGCGGCGCCGUGUGCCGGCGUGGCUUAGCGAGCGCGUGCUUUCUCGUGCUCCUGCAGGCGCUGAAGAGGAACCCGGCGACGCGGGAAGACGGCCGUUGGCGCACGUGGCGUUUUCCUCUGCCGAAGAUGGGUUCGGACCCUCGGCCCUCUGAAAGCUAAGUGGAGGCGCGAGGGCUGGGAAGGGGCCGGGAAUGGCAGGGCCGGGGGGUUUAGCUCUGCUAAGGGCAAGGGCCGUCCAGGAACCGCGCCCUUGGCGCGGGUCAAGGGCCCAGGGACCUUUACCGUGCGAUGCCAGCGUGUGCCGGGCAGGGCAGCUCCAGCCUGCGUCUGCGUUGUGGUGUAGUUCAGGAAGCCUGCCUUGCGCCUGUCAGCCGAUCCUGGGGUCUCGUUGCGUUCGAGGGGCACGGAAGGCCUCUCGGGUGCCACCCCGGGAUCUGGAACGCCGGUGCCCAUCGGCGUAGCGCCGAUCGGGCGCUGGUUUUCUGGUGUCGGCAGCCGAAAGCGUGGCGGGUUCUUGCCUUUGGGCCGUUUCUGGUCAGGGCUGAUUGUGGCGUUGUCCUGGGCUGUGCCGGCAGCUCUAGCCAUCCAGUCUCAGGGACUGGAACUUCAAGAUGCUGGGAAGAAGUUCUUAGGUUUUUCAUCAGCUUCUCGUUUGGUUGCGACGUCUCUGCUCGGUUGUGGCGCUGCCGCCGUCUCGUCAGGAGCCGUGACGUCGGGCUCCUUUUCCGUUUGAGGAUGCAGGAGAGGCUCCUCUCCUCCCCGUAGAUUAUUGGGAUCGAUGCCCUUCUGGUCUCGGAGCGUCGUGUUCGUCGUGGAGCGUUUUUGGCGCUGUGGCCGUCGCGUGGUCUAUAAGGUUCUGCGGAGCGUCUGUCGACCCGGGUGCGCGAUUGGCUCGGAGCUGCUCUGCCCGGACGCGUAGAGGCAGGGGAGGGUGGACGGAGCUCUGGCGGUCCCCGGUUAACCUGCUGACGCGUUGAAUUGCGUGGGCAGAGGCGGCGCGGUCAUCUGGGAUGGAGUAGCCGUGGGCAGGGGAGCGGAGGGUCCCCGCGCAGGCGUUUGAGAGCCUCCACGAGAGCUUGGGACGUUAUUGCGCCACAGAAAGCAGACCUGUGGGCUGGUCAGGCUGUCGAUGGGCUGCUGGGUGACUUGCAGAAUCACCUGAUUUCAGGAGCAGAGGGACAACUUGGCCCGGAAGAGCGACGGAGGAGGCGAGCUGUGCGCCGUAAGCAGGUGGGUCGGUGGGUGGUGCCAGAGGGGAGCUGUGCCGUGUGGCUCUAGCUAAGCUCGGUCGUUUCUCUGUUUCCUAGGUGCGAAGCGAAGAGGAAAGCGGGCUGUCGGCAGCUCAGCUCCACGGGCCAGGCGGCAGCUGAGCGUCUCGGCGGUCCGCGGCGUGGCAGUCCAAAGCAAGGGCGGCCGGGUGGGCGAGCGGCCCAGGUAAGGGAGGGCGAGCUGGGACCGUCUGCGGACAGGCUGUGUUUUCGGGCGGCGUCCGAGCGCGUGCCUCUGGUUUUGCGGGUGCCGCAGACGAGCCGGCAGCCGAGAAGGUGAGGCGGCGGUGGGCGUUGCGGAGCCCGGUAUUGCCCGGUCUCUCGCUUCAUCUUUUCCUUCUCGCUUUGCAGGCGCUUUGUGGGCCCUCUGGACCGGGAGGAGCAUUUGCGGUGAGCCGGGCUAGGGGCGAGGAGGAGCGUGGGGCCGGGGACUCGUUCCCGGCGCCACGGUUUUUUUUUGCUUCUCGCCGUCGUAGGCGUCACCAGCGCUGAGGGUUUGUGACCGCGCCAGCGGCAGGACACGCCGACCGGACCGCCCUGGAGCUCAG